CAAAGUCAAAAUCAACAAGCCAUUUCUUAUUUCACAUAAGAGGAUUUGAGUAGCCAGUGUUCAUAUACCACCAAUCUUCCAAAUAUGUAUCAUCAGAUUCAGAAGCCAUCAAUAACACAAAUUCAUCAUCAUAAUCUCCUUUGGCUACAUUUUCUUCUUUUGAUUUCCUUUCCUUGUUUGACCAACAAUCAAUAGCACUGAACU
rnacentral:lncRNA from 1 species